AUUAAGAUCUUUAAAAAGUUUGUUGAAACCGAUUUCCACUCAUUUAUCACAGCUGUGGGUGGAAUUUCACUCACAUCACAUGAGAAAAUACGGACAAAAAUUUUCAUCUACAUUUUUUUUAUCGAACUGUAUUCUGGCAUGCGAUGUGUAAGUGCAGAAUAUUACGGCACUUGAGCACACUUGUUGCCAAGAAAUUAGCAUUGAUUAGGGACAAAGCUCCAUAAAAACAGAAAAGUGGCCACCCAAUAAGCAAAACUGUCGACGUAUUCAUGCGAGCUUGAAAUUCCAAAGAGCAAACAAAUCUGAGUUGGCUUUUGCACAGUGUGCUACAGUUUUGUACUGAAAUUCAUAUUUUUUUUGGCAGCUGCAGCAGCAAAAUGGAAAUCAACAUUGGCAACAUGUUGACUUGACAGACGGAGAGUGAAAUUUCCAAGCAAUUGACACCCUUUUUCAAUCUGCCACUUCAAGCUGAAGUCAACCCUCGACGGCCUCAUGGCUUAUGAGGGCAAUUUCAAUAAAUUUGAGGCCGCCCACACCGCCCUCUAGAAUAGCUGUAUA